rnacentral:rRNA from 1 species
GACGAACUGUCCUAACGUUGUUCGGAAUCACUGGGCUUAAAGGGCGCGUAGCGGUCCGCCAAGUCAGGGGUGAAAUCCUGCAGCUUAACUGUAGAAGUGCCUCUGAUACUGGCGGUCUUGAGGGAAAUAGGGGUGUGCGGAACUUCCAGUGGAGCGGUGAAAUGCGUUGAUAUUGGAAGGAACGCCGGAGGCGAAAGCGGCGCACUGGAUUUCUUCUGACGCUGAGGCGCGAAAGCUAGGGGAGCAAACGGGG